UGAACUGAAGCAAGAGCUUGAGGCGGCCG
rnacentral:piRNA from 1 species